rnacentral:rRNA from 1 species
AGUUCGGACUGGGGUCUGCAACCCGACCCCACGAAGCUGGAUUCGCUAGUAAUCGCGCAUCAGCCAUGGCGCGGUGAAUACGUUCCCGGGCCUUGUACACACCGCCCGUCAAGCCAUGAAAGCCGGGGGCGCCUGAAGUCCGUGACCGCGAGGGUCGGCCUAGGGUGAAACCGGUGAUUGGGGCUAAGUCGUAACAAGGUACC